GAUGAACGCUGGCGGCGUGCCUAAUACAUGCAAGUCGAGCGAACGGACGAGAAGCUUGCUUCUCUGAUGUUAGCGGCGGACGGGUGAGUAACACGUGGAUAACCUACCUAUAAGACUGGGAUAACUUCGGGAAACCGGAGCUAAUACCGGAUGAUAUUUUGAACCGCAUGGUUCAAAAGUGAAAGACGGUCUUGCUGUCACUUAUAGAUGGAUCCGCGCUGCAUUAGCUAGUUGGUAAGGUAACGGCUUACCAAGGCAACGAUGCAUAGCCGACCUGAGAGGGUGAUCGGCCACACUGGAACUGAGACACGGUCCAGACUCCUACGGGAGGCAGCAGUAGGGAAUCUUCCGCAAUGGGCGAAAGCCUGACGGAGCAACGCCGCGUGAGUGAUGAAGGUCUUCGGAUCGUAAAACUCUGUUAUUAGGGAAGAACAUAUGUGUAAGUAACUGUGCACAUCUUGACGGUACCUAAUCAGAAAGCCAUGGCUAACUACGUG
rnacentral:rRNA from 1 species